rnacentral:antisense_RNA from 1 species
AUCAUCAUUAUUGCUGUCAUCAAUUGCCUGUGAGGGGCAUUGGCCUGAGGCUGUUUUCCUACUCUCUCCUUGAGCCUUUAUGGAUAUAUUUUGGAUAAAUGGACCUAGACCAACAUGGCAAAAGUCUGAACACAGAGGCUAAGUUUUUCACUCAGGAACCAGCUCCAGGGUUCCUUCAUUCUUCCUGAAAGUCUUAGACCCUCAGCAUCCUUCCCUAGACUACUCUGUGGCCUAGAUUCUGGGCUGCUUUGUGUGGGAAAGCUGAUGGCAGAUCAUGGAAAGACGGCCCAUCAUAGAACCACACACACGUGAUCACAGGCAUGACACAGAACAAUGAAGCUUGGUACCUUCCUCUCGCCACAGGAUGUUUGCAACUGCAGCAGCAGAGAAUGAGGAAAGCAGGAGUGUGAUGGAGGAAAGGAAAAAGAAGAAAGCAGUGUUAAACCGUCACUGCAGUGAUUCCAUUUAUGAAGAUCCUGGUACCUAGUCCAUCACUUACAGAAUCUAUACCACUCAUUGCCCUAGGAACAGUAUCUUGGGGGAAGCUCUGGACAUGAACAAAUGCUUUCAG